AGAUGUGAGGGCAGUCUGGCUGCGACAUCAGUCACCCCAUUGAUCACCAGGGUUCAUUUGGCUGAUCUGGCUGACUAGGUGGGUGUCCCCUUCCAUCCUCAUCGCUCCAUGUGUGUCCCUUCCGAAUCUGUGCACUCCAUUGAAGAGGAUGACCUUCCUUGAGAGAGGAGGACUCUUCUUUGGUCAAGGGUAUAUGAGUAGCUACGCUCCCCUCCCAGAACCUCCAAACUGGCUCUCAAAACCAAAGUCACAUAUUUAUAUUUACUUUUUCCAACUACUCUUUGCACUUAAGAAAAGAAUUUUAAAAUAAGU
rnacentral:snRNA from 1 species